ensembl:lncRNA
AUGCUUUGUUUUGUCAUGUUGAUUUCCAAGACCUUUACUGUCCUUCUCCAUUCUCCAUCAGAACCUUUCACAAUUAUCUGUAACACAAUUGGCCUUUGGAUGGGGAGCAGAAGGAGUGGGUUCAAGGCUGACUCCUGUCCCAACCUUCCCCUGGCAACUAGAUAUGGCAAUUUGGCUAUGAGCCUAGUCCUGUGCAAAAUAGUUCACAGCUGUGAACUUGCAAAUAAUGAGAACUCAUCUGGAACAUGCUAUGAAGAAAAAUGCUCACGCAAUGGAAUAUUCACACACUUCAGUUCAGUUCUGUUAAUAUUAGGAUUUGAGCUCACUGAAAGUCAGAGAAAAUAAAUUAAUGUUUGAAACAUGUAGCUUUAAAAGAUGUGUUGCAUGGAGUAGAUAACAGAUAAUCAGAGUUGGAAGGGACCUUGUAGGUCAUCUAGUCCAACUCCUUGCCCAAGCAACCUUUCACCAUUUCUGACAAAUGGCAGUCCACUCUCUUCUUGAAGGUCUCAAGUGAUGGUGCUCCCACAACUUCUGAGGGCAAGCUGUUCCAUUGGUUGAUUGUUCUCACUGUCAGAAAGUUUCUCCUUAUUUCCAGGUUAAACCUUUCUUUCCAUUCACCACCCAGUUACAGCACUUAAAGGAUCUCAAAAUUUCCCAAAAUUCAUUGUCAUUUAUCUUCUGGCAAGAUGUUCUGAAAUGAUCUAUGUUCUUCCCAUGUUAUUGGACUUUUAACUACUCAUAACAUUGCUAACCAUUGUUGCUAAAACAUGCUGUAGAUAUGCCAAUAAGUCUUUUGGGGAAAUUGUGGCUGAUUUUCCAAGAUAUACUAAUUUUAACAUUGACUUUAAAAAACAAACAGAAAUGUAGAUUUAAAAAUUGUUUCUAUUUUCUUGUAUCAAGAUACAGAUGUAAAGACUUAAUAAAUUUUGUUUCUUUCAAAGCUUGCUUUUCAUAAUACAAAAAUAUAUAUAAAAUACACAAAAGACAUCUGUGCUCCAUAUUUUUGAAAGACAAUAUCCAGAUUUUGCAGUCACCCUUGUGGCUUUUGAGACUUUACUAGAAAUUGUUCACAUACUGGGAUUUAAAUAAUGGCUAGAAUUUUGUUUUCAAAAGCAAAUGAAAGAUGACAGCUUUAGGAAAAUGUAAGCUGCAAUCAAUGACACAUUCUGCACAUGUAGCAAAUACAUGAAAAGUCAAAAGUGCUGAUCAUAUACUGUUCAUUUUCAGGAGUCAAACAUGCUUUAUAUUUUAAAUGAGCAAUCUCUUAUUAUAAUUAACAUGGCUAGUUAUCAAAUGCUCUAAAAUCAAUACUACCUUAAAAGUACAGUUUGGUCAAGUACAGUUUGGUCAACUAUCUGGUUAGGUAUUGUUAGUGGACUUAUUUUUCCAACACAGCCAAAUAUUUCAGACUCAGACAAGUGUCGCUAGAUUGCAUUGCUUCUUUCAUUGUCUACUACUAUUUACAACUAGAAACAGCAACUUUCCUAGCAUGCUAAAGUAAUAAUAUAACAGGUUGAAAUCUUCACAAAAUUAAUUAGAUAUUGUCAAAUCUCAGCCUAAUCUAUCUCAUAGUGAUGAAAGAUAUAUUAUAAUGGGAGGACAUAAAUGUAAUAAAAUUCAUUCUUUUCAAAUUAAUGUUAUUGUUUCAUAAAUGCCAUAUUUUUGUAACUUGAAAGAAAAUAGGGGACAAUAUUAUAAAUUAUAUGAUUAUGAUAUGAAGAUAGGGAUUGAUUUCUUUUUGUUUAAAACAAGCUAAAACAGCAGCAGUAGGAAAUUGUAAUGUUUAAGGAUUAAAAUAUGUAAUAUUUUAAACUCUUCUCAUGCAUGUAAAAAUAUUAUUUGCCAAUAUGUGUAUUGGGUUGUACUGAGUAGCAACUCUCUUUUUAACAAACUGUACAACAAUGAAGAUUCCCACACAGAAGAGGCUCUAGUAUAGAACCUGCAUUGUUCAUCAAAUUUUUCCAUAAUGUUGCAAAAGAUUUCUGGACAUUUAUUCAUUUCUUGCUAUUUGUCAGAGAGAUAGUUAGACUAUAAAAUAGUUUGAAUGGAAUCUUAUUAAUUUUUCAAGAAUUGUUGUGACCUUUUUUUCUUAGUUUGAACCAAUUUAGAUUCUUUAAGGGUUAUCUAGUCUUCUGAAGGGUUUCUCUCAAAUGCUAAUAACUGAUUUUAUAAUUUUUAUGUGUUUCUUGUGGCUUGGACAACUUCUCUUUGCAUUUGGUUUCCAGCCAAUCCUUGCCUAGACUUCCCAUAAAUUUCAUUGUUUUUCUUAGCCUUUGUUACAUGUCUAAUAGUGUCAAACCAAUGAGUUUUUUUAUGUACAUUUCUAUUCAUCACAUGAUACUCUUUUGAAAUGAGCAAUGUUAUACAAAAUUCAUAAAAAAUAGGAAAAAGAGAAUUUAAAGGAAAGACAGAAAAGGAACUCUAUAGUUUACACUAAUAUAUCACUAUAUGUUUUUAUACAUUUGCAAACCAUCUUUUCUUUCCAUACUGCAUUAAUACGCUGCAUUUGCUUUUUUAAAUGUUGCAUUAUCUAAAGUAAGCACAUCCAUAAUAUAGAGCAAAUAAUUAAUACAGAGAUUUUAACUCAGAUCAUACAUCAAAGCAGCUGAUUUCACCUUAUGCCAGCAGGUUCUUCAAACCAUCUACUCUGGCCCCAGGACAGUUAUCAUUGUUUCUCAUCUUUUCCCAACAGAUUUAACACCUGUGUGUGCCUUUUCUUUACCACUUUAUCUUUCUUCUCUCUAUGAACUGAACUACAAAAAAAAAAAAAGCCUUUUCCAGCAGAAACUGAUUUUGACUUGAUUCACACAGCACCCAACUCGUUUUCCUUUAGCAUUAUUUUCCUUGUAUUGAUUUUGCAUCAGUUUUCUUCAUUGUUGUUGACCUGUUAUAUAUUAGAAGUCUGAAAGAUCAGGC